UGGCUCAGUGGUUAAGAGCACUGACAGUACUCUUCCAGAGGUCCUGGGUUCAAUUCCCAG
rnacentral:tRNA from 1 species